CCUACGGGAGGCUGCAGUGAGGAAUAUUGGUCAAUGGGCGCGAGCCUGAACCAGCCAAGUAGCGUGAAGGAUGACUGCCCUACGGGUUGUAAACUUCUUUUAUAAAGGAAUAAAGUGAGGCACGUGUGCCUUUUUGUAUGUACUUUAUGAAUAAGGAUCGGCUAACUCCGUGCCAGCAGCCGCGGUAAUACGGAGGAUGCGAGCGUUAUCCGGAUUUAUUGGGUUUAAAGGGUGCGUAGGCGGGCUGUUAAGUCAGCGGUCAAAUCUCGGGGCUCAACCCCGGCCUGCCGUUGAAACUGGCUGCCUCGAGUGCGCGUGAAGUAUGCGGAAUGCGUGGUGUAGCGGUGAAAUGCAUAGAUAUCACGCAGAACUCCGAUUGCGAAGGCAGCAUACCGGCGCCCUACUGACGCUGAGGCACGAAAGCGUGGGUAUCGAACAGGAUUAGAUACCCCUGUAGUC
rnacentral:rRNA from 1 species